GGGGCGUGAUCCUGUGUUCUGGGCUAGUCAAGUAAAUAUAUGGCGUCAGGGCCUUUUGGACGAAGCCUUCUUCGCGGUGGCCGUCCUCAGCCCGGCAGCGAGAGGGCCCCGCCUGAGCGUGCCGUGCUACGGCCCAGCCUCGACGAGGGGGUGCACGCAGCGCGACGCUCUCCUGCUGCGCCAGGUGGUGCGAGCUUGUCGACGGCCGGGGCCGCCCUCGAGCAGCCCCGCGGACGUGGCGUCGUCGGGGAAGGAAGGAGUCGAGCGCCUCCGCCUGCCGCCUCUCCGCGUGGAGUUUAUCCGCGACAGCCCCAAUGGCGCCUCCGAAGAGGGUUGCCGGGGAAAGAGGGGCAUCAAGGAGGAAGGAUCACCUGCGAUCUCCACGAAGACAUCCGCCGCUCUGCCUCAGCACGACCUGGACCGGAGCCGCGGGGAGGGCGACUUAUCGGGCGAGACGGGAGCGCCUUUAUAGCAUCCUGGUCCUGGCGUCGUCCGCUUAUGACGUACCAGCUCGCCAUUGGUUAGAUUUCAGACGUGCUUCAUGGCGCGGUCACGCAGAGGCCGUCACGCAAAAAAAGGAAAUAAAAAUGCACAAAAACAGCAAAGCAGAGGUCAAAUGUAUUAUUUGUGAAAAAUUUGAUCAAAGACAAUAUGUGGAAAGUUAAAGAAUUCAGAUUUAAGACACUUAACUGUAAUGACUACUUUAACUAUUUCAAAGAGACAUUUUAAUUUGUUUCUAGAUGAAUCUUACUAAUGUGAUGCAGGAGGAGCAUGUGGACAGAUGUUACCUGUAAUCUCUAAUAUUUAUUUAAUUAAAUAAAUGACUGUAGGAAACACUG